rnacentral:rRNA from 1 species
ACUUUCAACAACGGAUCUCUUGGUUCUGGCAUCGAUGAAGAACGCAGCGAAAUGCGAUAAGUAAUGUGAAUUGCAGAAUUCAGUGAAUCAUCGAAUCUUUGAACGCACAUUGCGCCCCCUGGUAUUCCGGGGGGCAUGCCUGUUCGAGCGUCAUUUCA